ACUCCUACAGGAGGCAGCAGUGGGGAAUAUUGCACAAUGGGGAAACCCUGAUGCAGCCAUGCCGCGUGUGUGAAGAAGGCCUCGGUUGUAAGCACUUUCAGUAGGGAGGAAGGUAGUGUAGUUAACACCUGCAUUAUUUGACGUUACCUACAGAAGAAGCACCGGCUAACUCCGUGCCAGCAGCCGCGGUAAUACGGAGGGUGCGAGCGUUAAUCGGAAUUACUGGGCGUAAAGCGCAUGCAGGCGGCCUGUUAAGUCAGAUGUGAAAGCCCGGGGGCUUAACCUCGGAAUUGCAUUUGAAACUGGCAGGCUAGAGUCUUGUAGAGGGGGUAGAAUUUCAGGUGUAGCGGUGAAAUGCGUAGAGAUCUGAAGGAAUACCAGUGGCGAAGGCGGCCCCCUGGACAAAGACUGACGCUCAGAUGCGAAAGCUGGGGAGCAAACAGGAUUAGAUACCCUGGUAGCACAGAG
rnacentral:rRNA from 1 species